AUUCCUAUAAAGAGAGCUGUUAGUCGUGAUUACUGACACUGGAUUCUUAAAAUUACAAUAAUGUCUCUGAGGUAGGUGAUGGGUUCCUUGGAGAGAGAUAAGCGGAAGGAUAUUGUGGACAAAUAUUUAUUUAAAAAAAAAAGACGAAAAGCGCAAGAAGAAGUAAACAAAUGAAGAAUUAAGAAGUGCCGCCUUAAAGGGACAGUGUGAUGGCCUGUUGUGCAUCAGCCUCAGACUAGGCCUCGGGAGAUGAGAGGGCGGGUUCGAGUCCUGAGUGACGUCGGUCCUCAGGCUACUACUCUGGGGACCCUUAAGUGAGAGCAGCCACCUGGGCCAAGAGCUGUCUCCGUACCAGAGGUGAAAGCAAAAUGGUCAACCGCGACCGAGCACUCGGCCUGAGGCCCGAUCGAAAGCGCGUGCCCAGCCAUGAUUAAGUGAGAUUCUACACAUGGAAGUACUUGACCAUCGCAGCCAUGUGAGAUAGGGCAGGAUUUAGCCUCCAUUUUAGAUAAAGGAAAGCUCUAAGACGUGGAGAAAUAAAGUGACUUAUCCAAGGUCGCCUGACAACUAA